CUGAGGAGACACAGCUGGAACAGCUGGCCUAAACUGACCUAAGGGAUACCCCAUACCACAUUGUGUCAUUCUCAGCAAUAAAAGAUGUGGAGAAAAGGAAGAAGGAGGUGAUGUUCUGAAUACAACGUUUGAUUGCCCAAAACUGUUUGUCCCUGCUACAUGUGGUGAGUUCUGCUUUCCUUGGAACGUCUGAUCAUCUCCCUGGUGAUGGUAAGCAGUGAAUCAAUUCCUUAUUUUGGUUUGCUUUCAUGCACAGUUUUUGCUUAAUCCUCUAAACUGUCCUAUCUCACCCUUCCUCCUUAUCUCAGCCUUCACCAAUCUGAUUCUUUUCCCCAUUGCAUUGUGAGGGAAGAGAGCAAGUAGCUGUGUGGUGCUGAGCUGCCUACUGGGGUGAAGCUACAACAAUCCUUUUAUGGAACCCAAGUAAGUUACAAUGUCAUCAGAAACAAGAAUCGAUGGGGAGCUUUAGCAGAUCUCACUGAAAGGUUACUCCAAGGUAACCUUCAUAAUUAUGGUUCAGGUAUCUACUAGAUAGAUGUAAGAAUAAUGUGUGAAUCAUAAGGACAUAAGAUUGAAAUGAAAGUCUGUCAAAAGAAGGGGAGUAAGACACUGUGUAAUUUGUCUUGCACAGAUGAAUUCCAUCCUUCUGGUAUCUGAAGAUAUUUAAAAACUGGAGAAAAUAAAAGAAUUCCCUCUACCAUUCUCUGGAAGAAUUUGAAGCAGAUGAAUAAACAGAAUAAAGGAAUGGAUGAGUAUGUCUUGGUGAAACACUAUCAAGACUUUGGUCAAAAUUAGGCUGAACAUUCACUGUGUGCAUUUGAAAAUUCUUGUUGAGUAGAAAUGAAUCAAUGGUAAGUACAGGGAAUAUCACACCUUGGAUUUCUACAACUCCAUUCCCUAACAGAUCUAUUGCCUGCAAACUCGGAGAGCUACCAGCUGCCUGUUUUCAAGACAACCAGACCAGGCUUCCCACAAGCUGACAGUGCAAUUUAGCAACAACAUGGAUACCACCUUUAGAAAAAGACUAGGCAGUUUAAUGCUCAUUUCAGGACAUAUUUGAGUCUGAAUUGUUUUAUUUCUUUUCAAUUAUGAUUUUUUUCCUCCUGACCCAGCUUUUUUUUUAUGAUGUUUUUGUUUCCAGAGGUUCAAUGUUAGACAAAAUAGAGACAUAAAAGAUAAAACACAAGCUCAUCACCAUUUCUUUUUAAGUUAAAUGAAAUAUUGUCAUUUAAACACCAAGCAACAAUCACAAUGGCGCUGUGUCAUCAAUAAUCAUUUGUUCCUUCACUUGCUCUUAAGGAGGAUCCAUUUCCCACUGACAUUAAUAACUAAAAUGCAGCUGUUUUCAAGGAAAAUAAAGGAAGCAGGUGUCUUUAGCAUUCAGGUUGUCACAUGCAUUGAAAAUGUGGAAUGAAAAAGGUAUUUUUAUCAGAAAAAAAUCUAGUCAUAAAUAUAAUCCAAAAAGUAAACUCGACAUCUAUCUAUCAAAACCAAACAAAACAAACAAAAUCCAAACAAAUAAUAAAAAAAAAACCAAAAAGCCCAAAACUCACACUCAAAAAACAUCCCCAAAACACCAAAAAAAAAAAAAAAUCACCCUCUACAAUAAUUUUUGUCCUGUCUUACUCCAAUACAGUUUUUCCCUUUACCUUUGUUUCUGCUGAUUAAUAAAAAGAUAGGGAUUAAAUGGCCAUUUUUCUUAAUAAAAGAGUCUUGAAAUUCUUUUUUUUUAAACCCAUAAGUGUUUUGAAUUUUGUAAUUUAAAAACUUAGAUUAUAAUACACCAAGGAUUAAUAGGAAGUGGCAACAAAACUUGCAACAAAAAAUUCAGAUGUUUUAUUUUCUAUAUUAAUAUUUAUAACUAUUUUGCAAAAGAGAUAUCAUAGU